CCCCCUGCCAGUCAGAAGGGCCUUUCGGUGGAGAGGUGCGUCUAGAACCGAGGCGUGCGGCCAAUCCGACUGUUCCGUUCCGCUGCCUCGUGCUACCCCUACGGCCUCGAACGCUGACAUUUAAAAGGGUAACAGCCCGGAGGCUGGAAGGGGGCCGCUGCUCCUCUUCGGGAGCGCCUCUUGGUCCCCGUGGCCUCUCCGGGCCUCCAGGCUCGCGGUCAGGCUUGCGGGGCCGCGGCGCACGCCUUCGCUAGGCACUGGCGCUCGUCCUCGUGACAAAAGAAAACUUCAGGCUCGGGUUUCCAGCUUGCAAACAGUUAAGUGACUUCCUGCAAACGCUAGAGUCCCAGCAACCAGCCUUCCAAUCAAAAGAAGAUACAGGUUGACGAUAUGGAGAAGGAAGUAUGGAAGGGGGGUGGCGGUCAACACACUGUCAUCAUCACCAUCGUGGUAAAGUUGGUACAUCAUGGUCUGGCACAAAUACCAGUGGGAUCUCUGCAGGGUCUCUGUGAUCGCUGCCUCUCCAGUCUCUUGGAUUUACAUUAACUGACAUUGCACUGCACAGCUUCAGACAGCCCUAGAGUUAACAUUGGGGUUAUUCUAGAUAUGAACGGAAGUUUGUAUUCUUUCUUGGACACUGUAAUCCAGCAACUUGAAUGAACU
rnacentral:lncRNA from 1 species